CAGCCGCCGCGGGAAUACGGAGGGCGCGAGCGUUACCCGGAUUUACUGGGCGUAAAGGGCGUGUAGGCGGCCUGGGGCGUCCCAUGCGAAAGGCCACGGCUCAACCGUGGAGGAGCGUGGGAUACGCUCAGGCUAGAGGGUGGGAGAGGGUGGUGGAAUUCCCGGAGUAGCGGUGAAAUGCGCAGAUACCGGGAGGAACGCCGAUGGCGAAGGCAGCCACCUGGUCCACUUCUGACGCUGAGGCGCGAAAGCGUGGGGAGCAAACCGGAUUAGAUACCCCUGUAGUCCCUGUCUCUUAUAU
rnacentral:rRNA from 1 species